rnacentral:rRNA from 1 species
UAAGCGGAGGGAAAGAAACCAACCGGGAUUGCCUCAGUAACGGCGAGUGAAGCGGCAAAAGCUCAAAUUUGAAACCCUCGGGAUUGUAAUUUGAAGAUUUGGCAUUGGAGAAAGCUAACCCAAGUUGCUUGGAAUAGUACGUCAUAGAGGGUGACAACCCCGUCUGGCUAACCGUUCUCCAUGUAUUGCCUUAUCAAAGAGUCGAGUUGUUUGGGAAUGCAGCUCAAAGUGGGUGGUAAACUCCAUCUAAAGCUAAAUACUGGUGAGAGACCGAUAGCGAACAAGUACUGUGAAGGAAAGGUGAAAAGAACUUUGAAAAGAGAGUGAAAUAGUAUGUGAAAUUGUUGAUAGGGAAGGAAAUGAGUGGAGAGUGGCCGAGGUUUCAGCCGCCCCUUGUGGGCGGUGUACUGCCGACGCCGAGUCCUCGAUAACGAGACGAAGGUUUCAAAUGGGAGCGCCUUUCGGGCGUUCUCCCCUAACCCUCCACAC